UACGUAGGGGGCUAGCGUUGUCCGGAUUUAUUGGGCGUAAAGAGCGUGUAGGCGGCCAGGUAGGUCUGCUGUGAAAACUCGAGGCUCAACCUCGAGACGUCGGUUGAAACCGUAUGGCUAGAGUCCGGAAGAGGAGAGUGGAAUUCCCGGUGUAGCGGUGAAAUGCGCAGAUAUCGGGAAGAACACCCGUGGCGAAGGCGGCUCUCUGGGACGGUACUGACGCUGAGACGCGAAAGCGUGGGGAGCGAACAGG
rnacentral:rRNA from 1 species